rnacentral:rRNA from 1 species
AUUGAACGCUGGCGGCAGGCCUAACACAUGCAAGUCGAGCGGUUGAAGGGAGCUUGCUCCUGGAUUCAGCGGCGGACGGGUGAGUAAUGCCUAGGAAUCUGCCUGGUAGUUGGGAAUAACGUCCGGAAACGGGCGCUAAUACCGCAUACGUCCUGUGGGAGAAAGUGGGGGAUCUUCGGACCUCACGCUAUCAGAUGAGCCUACGUGGGAUUAGCUAGUUGGUGGGGUAAAGGCCUACCAAGGCGACGAUCCGUAACUGGUCUGAGAGGAUGAUCAGUCACACUGGAACUGAGACACGGUCCAGACUCCUACGGGAGGCAGCAGUGGGGAAUAUUGGACAAUGGGCGAAAGCCUGAUCCAGCCAUGCCGCGUGUGUGAAGAAGGUCUUCGGAUUGUAAAGCACUUUAAGUUGGGAGAAAGGGCAGUAAGUUAAUACCUUGCUGUUUUGACGUUACCAACAGAAUAAGCACCGGCUAACUUCGUG